rnacentral:tRNA from 1 species
GCCCCAGUGGCGGAAUGGAAGACGCAGCGGACUUAAACUCCGCAUCCGCAAGGAGUGUGAGUUCGAAUCUCAUCUGGGGCA